UGGAACUUGAGGAAGAAGCAGAACUUGCACAGAUACCAGUCUCAACGAUAUGUGAAGACCAAGAAAAGGACUGAUGAAAUGGACAAGGACAUUCAAAACCUGCAAACAAAACUGCAGACAACAGAGGAGGGAAUGAAGCAGUGGGUGAAGGAGGUUGAGGAGUGGGCUGCAUCAAGUCCAAAAUCCACCAACUGCCAGGAUCAACAGGGGCUGCAGCGGGUCAUGGAGGGCCUCGCCCUCAAAAUCAAACAGCGGAAAAUUGAGCUGUACAGAACCAUACAGAU